UGGGGAAUUUUGCACAAUGGGGGAAACCCUGAUGCAGCGACGCCGCGUGAUUUAGAAGGCCUUCGGGUUGUAAAAAUCUUUUUUACGGGAUGAAAAUGACAGUACCGUAAGAAUAAGGUCCGGCUAAAUACGUGCCAGCAGCCGCGGUAAUACGUAUGGACCGAGCGUUGUCCGGAAUAAUUGGGCGUAAAGGGUACGUAGGCGGCCUAGUAAGUUAGAAGUGAAAUAAUAUAGCUCAACUAUAUAAAGCUUUUAAAACUGCUAGGCUUGAGAGAUGGAAGGGAAAGUGGAAUUCCUAGUGUAGCGGUGAAAUGCGCAGAUAUUAGGAAGAAUACCGGUGGCGAAGGCGACUUUCUGGUCAUCAUCUGACGCUGAGGUACGAAAGCGUGGGUAGCAAGCAGG
rnacentral:rRNA from 1 species